rnacentral:rRNA from 1 species
AACAUGUCAAGUCGAGCGGUAACAGGGGUAGCUUGCUACCCGCUGACGAGCGGCGGACGGGUGAGUAAUGCAUAGGAAUUUACCCGAUAGUGGGGGAUAACCUGGGGAAACCCAGGCUAAUACCGCAUACGUCCUACGGGAGAAAGGGGGCUUUGGCUCCCGCUAUCGGAUGAGCCUAUGCCGGAUUAGCUGGUUGGUGAGGUAAUGGCUCACCAAGGCGACGAUCCGUAGCUGGUCUGAGAGGAUGAUCAGCCACAUCGGGACUGAGACACGACCCGAACUCCUACGGGAGGCAGCAGUGGGGAAUAUUGGACAAUGGGCGCAAGCCUGAUCCAGCCAUGCCGCGUGUGUGAAGAAGGCCCUCGGGUUGUAAAGCACUUUCAGCGAGGAAGAACGCCUGGCGGUUAAUACCCGCCAGGAAAGACAUCACUCGCAGAAGAAGCACCGGCUAACUCCGUGCCAGCAGCCGCGGUAAUACGGAGGGUGCAAGCGUUAAUCGGAAUUACUGGGCGUAAAGCGCGCGUAGGUGGCUUGAUAAGCCGGUUGUGAAAGCCCCGGGCUCAACCUGGGAACGGCAUCCGGAACUGUCAGGCUAGAGUGCAGGAGAGGAGGGUAGAAUUCCCGGUGUAGCGGUGAAAUGCGUAGAGAUCGGGAGGAAUACCAGUGGCGAAGGCGGCCUUCUGGACUGACACUGACACUGAGGUGCGAAAGCGUGGGUAGCAAACAGGAUUAGAUACCCUGGUAGUCCACGCCGUAAACGAUGUCGACCAGCCGUUGGGU